UACGUAGGUGGCAAGCGUUGUCCGGAUUUACUGGGUGUAAAGGGGGCGCAGGCGGGAAAGCAAGUCAGCGGUGAAAUCUCUGGGCUUAACCCGGAAACUGCCGUUGAAACUGUUUUUCUUGAGUGAAGUAGAGGCAAGCGGAAUUCCGAGUGAAGCGGUGAAAUGCGUAGAUAUUCGGAGGAACAUCAGUGGCGAAGGCGGCUUGCUGGGCUUUAACUGGCGCUGAGGCCCGAAAGUGUGGGUAGCAAAC
rnacentral:rRNA from 1 species